GAUGAACGCUAGCGGCAGGCUUAAUACAUGCAAGUCGUGGGGCAGCAUGAAGUAGCAAUACUUUGAUGGCGACCGGCAAACGGGUGCGGAACACGUACACAACCUUCCUUUUAGUGGGGAAUAGCCCAGAGAAAUUUGGAUUAAUACCCCGUAACAUAGCGAUGUGGCAUCACAUUGCUAUUAUAGCUUCCGCUCUAGAUGAUGGGUGUGCGUAUGAUUAGAUAGUUGGCGAGGUAACGGCUCACCAAGUCUACGAUCAUUAGCUGAUGUGAGAGCAUGAUCAGCCACACGGGCACUGAGACACGGGCCCGACUCCUACGGGAGGCAGCAGUAAGGAAUAUUGGUCAAUGGACGAAAGUCUGAACCAGCCAUGCCGCGUGAAGGAUUAAGGUCCUCUGGAUUGUAAACUUCUUUUAUAUGGGACGAAAAAAGGUCUUUCUAGAUCACUUGACGGUACCAUAUGAAUAAGCACCGGCUAACUCCGUGCCAGCCGCCGCGGUAA
rnacentral:rRNA from 1 species